rnacentral:rRNA from 1 species
ACCUACGGGGCGCAGCAGUGGGGAAUAUUGGACAAUGGGGGAAACCCUGAUCCAGCGACGCCGCGUGAGUGAAGAAGUAUUUCGGUACGUAAAGCUCUAUCAGCAGGAAAGAAAAUGACGGUACCCGCAGCAUAAGCAUCGGCUAACUCCGUGCCAGCAGCCGCGGUAAUACGGCGGAUGCGCGCGUUAUCCGGAUUUAUUGGGUUUAAAGGGUGCGUAGGCGGAUUUUUAAGUCAGCGGUAAAAUGUCCGGGCUCAACCCGGGCCGGCCGUUGCAACUGG